AGAAAACCAUAUAUAUUAUUUUUGUUAAUGGAAGGAUUCAUUUAAGUUCUGAAAAUUAUGCAUGUAUAGAUUAAGAAGGACUGUAUAAGUGUAAUAUAUGUGAUCUGAGUAGACUUUAAAAUUCAAAGUAUAUACAGUGCUAAAUCCUGAAAACAUAGCUAUAAUCAUAGAGAGAGAGAUCGAGAUCAGAGAGGAGUGCCAUACAGCAGCCUGAAAGAGUAUUUGAUUAUCGUGAAAUAUCUGAGCUCGAGGCUGGCACAUGGCACAUGGCUCUUGAAUAACAUCCGAUGUGUCUCUCUUGUUUAUAAGAAUUUAAAACCCAUUCAAAGAGAGUGGGUUUUUUUUGUUUCUUUGUUUUGUUUUGUUUUAUUUUUUUUAUGGUUUGUUUGGUUCUUCUGAAGUUGUGAUUUAUGCGUCCCUGGGGCUGUGAACAAGAAUGAAAGAGCCCAGGACAUUGAUGAAGACAAGAUAAGAAGACACCUGAGAAGAACCAGAAGAAUAAAAGUGACAGGUUGGAAUACAACCAUUUGGGACAUUUAUUUUUGUAGAUGAAAGUUUAUUUUACUGUAGAAAUGUAAUGAUCUUCAACUCAAUAUAUCAACAACAAAUGUAAACUUA